CACGUAGGAGGCAAGCGUUAUCCGAAUUUACUGGGCGUAAAGCGUGUGCAGGCGGUUCGGUAAGUUGGAUGUGAAAUCUCCCGGCUCAACUGGGAGGGGUCGUUCAAGACUGUCGGACUGGAGGGCGGUAGAGGGAGGUGGAAUUCCCGGUGUAGUGGUGAAAUGCGUAGAGAUCGGGAGGAACACCUGUGGCGAAAGCGGCCUCCUGGACCGCACCUGACGCUGAGACACGAAAGCUAGGGGAG
rnacentral:rRNA from 1 species